rnacentral:misc_RNA from 1 species
AACGCACGAGACCUGCGGACCUGCGGAAGGAUCAUUAAUGAGAAACUGUCCCUCGCGGGUAGAUCUCCCACCCUUUGUAAACUUACCUUUGUUGCUUUGGCAGGCCCGUCUCCGGACCGCCGGCUUCGGCUGGCCAGUGCCUGCCAGAGGAUUCUAAAACUCUGUCUGUCAGUGUUGUCUGAGUCUAUAUACAAUCGUUAAAACUUUUAACAACGGAUCUCUAGAUCGGAAGAGCACACG